rnacentral:lncRNA from 1 species
AGCAUUCUUCCAUCUGUAGAUGUUUCAGCUGCUGUACAAGGGAGUCCCAUUUCAGGUGUGGGGCUGGGCAUGGUCACUCCUGCUGGAUGUCUGGAAGGUGAAAACCAAGGACCUAGGGAAAUACCAGGUACAGCCUUUCCACCCUCAUCCAGAGCAGGACAAACAGGCCAGGUGGUAUCAGGAGCCCAGGUCUCCAGCUGGAGGGAAUGUCAACCCUGCAGUGGGAGCCCAUCACGCAUCCUAGGCACAGAUGCUAAUGUAGGCACCGCGGGUAAGCUGAGCUUGGUACCCCUCCCUGGCUUCAAAAAUAAGCCAAACAAGGAGCUUUCUGCAGAAUGAAACCUGUUUUUCAUCCAGAAGCACUGCUGACUGUUUGGUGGUUGCUGUUGGGGCAGUGAGCCUUUUGUCCAUUCUGAGAUUGGGCUGGUUUCUCCUCUUGGCCCUGCCCUACAGACCAUAAAGGAAAACAGCAAGAGGUCCGCAGCAAACAUCUACAGAUGGCCCUGGACAUCAGCCACAUUCUGAGAAACAUGUCAUGUUCUGGGAGGGCUAAGGCAUCAAGUAAGGCCUCUGGGGCUGGAGGAUCCCAGGGCAGGUGGGGCAAUCCAGAGCUGUGGGGGCUUCCAUGGGAAUUGGGAGGUCUCAAGGCAGAGGGAGGGGUUCCACAGGAGGAGUCACAGAGCCACCAAGGGGUCUCCUGGCCCAGGGAGCAGCCAACACCAUGGACUGAACACCCGCUGGGCUCCAAGCCCUGGGCCAGGCUGGGGCAUAUGGGGCCAGGAGGCAGCUCAGAGUGGGAGACAGAGAGACAAGUGUGCUCAGAGGGCACCCGUAUCUGGAUGUAGUGUGGUCCUGAGUUUCUGGCUGGGAAGCGCUUCCAGGGUUUCAUAUGUAUUAUGGAGCUGCUUCCUCUCUCCAGGCUCACCCUGCAGGAAUCCCAGUGAAUAUAUUGCCACCAUCUUGGAGCUCAGUGCCCUCUUAGUGUAAUGGCACCAGCAGAUCUGCCUGUGCACGGACUUCCUGUACUACCUCACUCCUGAGGGGAGAUGCUUCUGCAGGGCCUAUGACCUGGUGCACAACUUUAGACACCAUCAUCCUGGAGCAGCACCUCACCCUCACUUGCCGGGGUGUUGAUGACUUCCUCAAGGCUAAGGCCACAUUCAAGAUUUUGGACUUCAGUGAUGCAUUUUUGCUGAGCAAGGUGGGCUUCUCCGGGAUUUUAGUUCAGGAGGUAGAAUGCAGCUUGAGAUCAAGUGUCUGAUCAAAUAACUUGAACUUGAUCUGGAGAGCUCUGGGGAGCCAUAGAAGUUGUUGGAUAAAGGAGGGACAGUCGUAUAUGUUUUAGAGAUGACUGUGGAAGGCUGCCUGGAAGGAGUGAACAAGAGCCAGGAGACCAGGGAGGGAGCUUGUGGGGCAGGUCUGGAGAUGACAAGGGAGGGAUCCUGCUUUGAUGAAAGGUCUUCAGGGAAUGUCUCAGGUUACACUCAGGUGUCCUCAGAGCUAGUGUGUUCAGGGGUCUUGCCUCCAGGAUGAAAAUGAGAAGGAGUUGUCAGACAAGAACAUAUAAAUGAAGGCUGGCAUCUUCGUGAGUGCCAAUCGUUGUCCUGGUGUGGACUACUGUGGGAAUAGGGGUCUCUCCAUCCAGGGACAUGGUGGAUGGACCCUACAUCACUCCAUUCUGCCCUUCCUUUCCCUCCCAUUCUGAGGGCCUCAGUGCAAGGGCGCUGUCCAACCUCUGGUGCUGAAGCAGCCGAGAGACCCAAGCCUGCCACUCAGGAUAUGACAGCACAGCCAGUGGCCUCUACUGGAUCCUGUACAACCUCAGAAGACACCUAGACACUGGGAGUGCUGCCACCACGUGGUGCAAGAGUUCUGAGGGACCGCAAUUCUGAAGACAUUGAAUGCUGCUUCCUGCUCCCUCCAUGGACCUGCACAGAAUUGUCCCAUGUUUCUGUUUGUUUGGGCACCACUGAGGAAGGAAGCAUGAAGGACGCAGAGGUCAGGCCAUUCUAUUGCCCUCCUGCUGCUGGGUCUUUAAUCCUGAGAUGGCUUCAGGGGCUGGUCCUUCUCCAUGGCCCCCUCCACAUAUCUCAGCCAUUUUGCAAACCCUGGUCAGAAUGAAACAUUCCUUGGGAACUCGGGCCAUGAGAAGCAUCCUUCCUGACCACCUGACUGCGGAAACAUCCUUAUCGCAUCCUCCCGGGCGAAGGCCCAACAGCCUGACUGCAGGAACAUCCUUGCCAUAUCCUGCCGGGCAGCAAGCUCUACCGCCCAGACCCCUCCUUCCCAGUCCCAUGAUCGCCCCAGCCUGUGAGCGGCAGUUGGUGAUGGCACUAAGCUGAUUUCCUCCUCUGCAGGGUUUUGCUAGUAAUAAAGGUGUUGCUGUUGAAGCCACCAAAAAAAAAAAAAAAAAAAAAAAAAAAAAAAAAAAAAAAAAAAAAAAAAAAAAAAAAAAAAAAAAAAAA